rnacentral:lncRNA from 1 species
CAGAGCGUUUGUGUUGUACUGGUCUGUCGUACUCUCACGACAGUUGCCAUCGUGUUCUGGAAGAAUGAAAGUGUAGGCACAUUGCCCAUGUUGAAUCCGGUUAUAUCUUCUCCCACUGUUUUCUGGACUUCGGCGCUGAUUGCUGCACCCUAUGUGAGUCAGAAUGGCAGCGAGGAAAGCAAAGGAAAGGAAAACUGUCAUUGUACUGCCAGCACACUCCUUCCGUGCCUCUCGCAAAACUUGCUCCUUUCUUCUGACCUCUAAAACUAGUUCUUUAUUUCAGGUACUUCUGGGAGCAAGGCAGGUCCUGGAAUCCCACAGCUUCCUACAACAGGCAUGUCAUCUCAAAGACGUCUUUCUUGACAUGAAGAUAAUGCCGUGUAAACUACUUAUGUUCUUUUUU